rnacentral:rRNA from 1 species
GGGCCCGCACAAGUAGUGGAGCAUGUGGUUUAAUUCGAAGAUACGCGCAGAACCUUACCAACACUUGACAUGUUCGUCGCGACUUUAAGAGAUUAAAGUUUUCGUUCGGCCGGACGAAACACAGGUGCUGCAUGGCUGUCGUCAGCUCGUGUCGUGAAAUGUUGGGUUAAGUCCCGCAACGAGCGCAACCCUUAUCCUUGUUUGCCAGCGAGUAAUGUCGGGAACUCCAGGGAGACUGCCGGUGAUAAACCGGAGGAAGGUGGGGACGACGUCAAGUCAUCAUGGCCCUUACGAGUAGGGCUACACACGUGCUACAAUGGCGUAUACAGAGGGCAGCAAGCUAGCGAUAGUGAGCGAAUCCCAAAAAGUGCGUCGUAGUCCGGAUUGGAGUCUGCAACUCGACUCCAUGAAGUCGGAAUCGCUAGUAAUCG